rnacentral:rRNA from 1 species
CUACGGAGGGUGCAAACGUUGUUCGGAAUCACUGGGCGUAAAGGGCGCGCAGGCGGUUUGAUUAGUCAGAUGUGAAAGCCCACGGCUUAACCGUGGAAGUGCAUUUGAAACUGUCAGACUUGAGUACCAGAGGGGGUAGUGGAAUUCCCGGUGUAGAGGUGAAAUUCGUAGAUAUCGGGAGGAAUACCGGUGGCGAAGGCGACUACCUGGCUGGAUACUGACGCUGAGGCGCGAAAGCGUGGGGAGCAAACAGGAUUAGAAACCCCUGUAGUCC